rnacentral:rRNA from 1 species
AUUGAACGCUGGCGGCAUGCCUUACACAUGCAAGUCGAACGGCAGCACGGGGCAACCUGGUGGCGAGUGGCGAACGGGUGAGUAAUGCAUCGGAACGUACCUUUCAGUGGGGGAUAACGUAGCGAAAGUUACGCUAAUACCGCAUAUUCUGUGAGCAGGAAAGCAGGGGAUCGCAAGACCUUGCGCUGAUUGAGCGGCCGAUGUCAGAUUAGCUAGUUGGUGGGGUAAAGGCUCACCAAGGCGACGAUCUGUAGCGGGUCUGAGAGGAGGAUCCGCCACGCUGGAACUGAGGCACGGUCCAGACUCCUACGGGCGGCAGCAGUGGGGAAUUUUGGACAAUGGGGGCAACCCUGAUCCAGCCAUGCCGCGUGAGUGAAGAAGGCCUUCGGGUUGUAAAGCUCUUUCGGCCGGGAAGGAAUCGUAUGGGUUAAUACCCUGUGCGGAUGACGGUACCGGCAUAAGAAGCACCGGCUAACUACGUGCCAGCAGCCGCAGUAAAAC